UUGGGAUUAAGAUUUAGUUGUUGUUAUAAUAUGAUUUAACUUUUUUUAACAAUGUAAAUAAAUAUUUUUCUAAAUAAUUUUUCAAUUUUAGUUAUAAAAAAGUUGUAUAAUUCUAGUUAUAAAAAAGUCAUUGUUUUCCAUUUGGAAAACAGUUGGAAAAUAUAACUUUUGUUAUAAAAUAAAAUAGUAGAAAACAACUUGAAGUUGUUUUCUAAAUCCUAGUUAAAUCUUGAAAAAUUGGAAAACUGAUUUUCCAAUUUUCUAUUUAGAAAACUGGCACAUGUGAACAUGAAAUUCUGUUUUCCAGUUUUCUUAGAAAACUUCCUUCAAAAAACUAUCCAAAAUUUCCAAAAGUGAACACAACUUUGGUUUUUCAUUUUCUUCAUUUAUUGCUCUAGUUAAGGUUUGGCAUGUAUUUCUUUCAUUCCUUUACACAACAUCUACCAUUCCAGCUAAACUCAAAAACUCAAACAUCGGCUGUUUUCUUCAUUGAAUUGAUGUUUCUUGUUAAGCUUUGUUUCUGUAAUUGCUUGUGCCUAUUUACUGUAUCAAGAUGGGAAAAAAUCUCAUAAUUGCACGUCUUUUUUUAUGACAUAUAUGUAGAUAGCAUAGGGAAUCACUGAAGAAUAAUCCUCAGAAGUUAUUUGUAGUUUAUUAAUUCACUGCAACGCUUUC
rnacentral:misc_RNA from 1 species